AUUGAACGCUGGCGGCAUGCCUAACACAUGCAAGUCGAACGGUAACACAGUGCGAGCUUGCUCUUACGGGUGGCGAGUGGCGGAAGGGUGCGGAAUGCGUCCGGAUCUACUUUUUCGUGGGGCGUAACGUAGGGAAAUAUACCAUACUACCGCAUACGACCUACGGGUGAACGCAAGGGAUCUUCGGACCUUGCGCGAUUGUAUGAGCCGAUGUCGGAUUAGCUAGUUGGCGGGGUAAAGGCCCACCAAGGCGACGAUCCGUAGCUGGUCUGAGAGGAUGAUCAGCCACACUGGAACUGAGACACGGUCCAGACUCCUACGGGAGGCAGCAGUGGGGAAUAUUGGACAAUGGGCGCAAGCCUGAUCCAGCAAUACCGCGUGGGUGAAGAAGGCCUUCGGGUUGUAAAGCCCUUUUGUUGGGAAAGAAAAGCAGCAGGUUAAUACCCCGCGGUUCUGACGGUACCCAAAGAAUAAGCACCGGCUAACUACGUG
rnacentral:rRNA from 1 species